rnacentral:rRNA from 1 species
AUGCUAUAUUAUCUUCUGUUUUGGACAUUAUUGGGCCUUAUUAUUCACUUUUACAUUAUUUUUGGGACUAACCUAUUAACCGGAGGCCCAGCCCAGAAUUGUUGUUUUUUUCCUAGUUCAGAGUUGCGCAGAAAAAGAAUAUCAAACGGAGUCCAAACGGAAUGGAACCUUCGGGAACGUGAUUUUCGGAACGAACAUGAUCCAGGAGACUUGGACCCAACGUCAAGCAACCAACAGGGAGGCCACGAGGAAGGGGGGGCGCCUACCCCCCAGGCGCGCCCUCCACCUUUGUGGGCCCCCUGUUGCUCCACCGACGUACUUCUUCCUCCUAUAUAUACCUACGUACCCCCAAACGAUCAAAUACGGAGCCAAAACCCUAAUUCCACCGCCGUAACUUUCUGUAUCCACGAGAUCCCAUCUUGGGGCCUGUUCCGGAGCUCCACCGGAGGGGGCAUCGAUCACGGAGGGCUUCUACAUCAACACCAUAGCCUCUCCGAUGAUGUGUGA